GCGGCCGGGAGGGAGUUGUCAACGCUGAGGCCGCUGCGGACGGAUGCCCGCCUGCCGGGUGAGGAGAAACAACAAAUACUGGUAACAGAGUGAUUUGGUAUGCUGUUUGCAAGAAUGCAUCUUAACAGAAAUACAGAGGAAAAGAAUAAAGACGAGAAAAUGGCGUUGGCAGUCCCAAGAAAUGUUUUGAAGGUGAAAGCUGAAUUUGCAAAAAUAUACAGCAUACACUUAGACAGGUAUCCAUUAUGAUGUUGACAAUGAAAGC
rnacentral:lncRNA from 1 species